rnacentral:misc_RNA from 1 species
CUGAGUGAGGGAGCAAUCCCGACCUCCAACCCUUUGUGAACUUAUCUUGUUGCCUCGGGGAGGACCCUGCCGCUACGUCGGUUAUCCCCCCGAGGGCCAUCAAACACUGCAUUCUUGCGUCGGAGUAUAAAGUUAAUUUAAUA